UGGGGAAUAUUGCACAAUGGGCGCAAGCCUGAUGCAGCCAUGCCGCGUGUAUGAAGAAGGCCUUCGGGUUGUAAAGUACUUUCAGAGGGGAGGAAGGCGAUGUGGUUAAUAACCGCGUCGAUUGACGUUACCCGCAGAAGAAGCACCGGCUAACUCCGUGCCAGCAGCCGCGGUAAUACGGAGGGUGCAAGCGUUAAUCGGAAUUACUGGGCGUAAAGCGCACGCAGGCGGUUUGUCAAGUCGGAUGUGAAAUCCCCGGGCUCAACCUGGGAACUGCAUCCGAAACUGGCAGGCUUGAGUCUCGUAGAGGGGGGUAGAAUUCCAGGUGUAGCGGUGAAAUGCGUAGAGAUCUGGAGGAAUACCGGUGGCGAAGGCGGCCCCCUGGACGAAGACUGACGCUCAGGUGCGAAAGCGUGGGGAGCAAACA
rnacentral:rRNA from 1 species